UCGCUUUGCCUCGCUGGGGUACACUCCAGCCCCGCCCACGGAAAGGCGCGUUUAUAGUACGACGCUAUCGGCGCAUUGGCGAGCGUCACAUGCGGCGGAGCGCAUCGGCCGAGUCCAGUGAUACGUUGGCUGUGACAAUGCGCCGAACUAUGGUCUGUUUUCGCCGACGUGACGCAGCGCAUGCUUGCGUGUAUACCCUACGUCGCACUAUAAUCGCGCCUUAACAGGAGCUAAAAACGUGAACGAAAAAAAAACAUGACUAGCGCGCUAUGCGCGUGUUGUGGUUACUAUCGCCACACUAAGUGCUUCUUGUUUUACUCGAUAUGAACAGCUCAUUCAAGCUAAACUUGUACUCACGAACGCGAAAAGGCAUUUUUAGGCGCUGAAAAGCUGAUAUAGGCACGAACCUCGAAAUAGGCACUUAUAGGCACAAUCAAUGUGUGAUUAAAACGUUUCCCUUCCCUUAGUUCGUGCUUAUAUGUUAAAUAGGCUCGAAACGGACUCCAGGAAAAAAUAGGCAUUUUGCCUGAAGUUCCGGUCUCUACUCAUAUGCAUUGAUGUCG
rnacentral:lncRNA from 1 species